UACGGAGGGUGCGAGCGUUGUCCGGAAUCACUGGGCGUAAAGGGCGCGUAGGCGGCUCGGUAAGCGGGCGGUGAAAGCCCGGGGCUCAACCCCGGGUCGGCCGUGCGGACUGCCGUGGCUUGAGCACUGUAGAGGCAGGUAGAAUUCCGGGUGUAGCGGUGGAAUGCGUAGAGAUCCGGAAGAAUACCGGUGGCGAAGGCGGCCUGCUGGGCAGUAGCUGACGCUGAGGCGCGACAGCGUGGGGAGCAAACAGG
rnacentral:rRNA from 1 species